rnacentral:lncRNA from 1 species
AGGUACUCCAUUGUCUGAUGGAUCUGAGAACGCUGUCUGGGCUUGGUGCCAAGGGCUGGUAUUUCACAGCAGCGACCGCCUCACAGACGAGCUGUGGGAAGCAGGAGGGAGACUCUCUCUUAGGGUGCCACUACUAUGGAGACACAGCUGGGCUGAACAAGAUUUGCUUCAAACGACAACAAGAGAGACAGAAAGUAUCUGGUUCAACCGCUGCCCGAGCAGGCAGGCACCAGAAGAGCUAGCAGCCAAUCCGGCCAUGCUCGAAGCCAGCUCUGCAGCUCAGCCAAUCAGUGACAUCACUGAAAUGGAAGCAGUGGGAUCCAACCGAUACUUAGCUGCAAUACGAAAGUGAGUUCACUUGGUACCUGAUGUCCAAGUAAGAUGCACUGAAGUGUCAAGAUUUUCACAUUCUUUCUGAUAAAUUGAUUCUCCAAAUUCUGUCCCAUCACUGACAUUCGUGUGUAGUUGGAAGUCUCCAGUCCUAUAAAGCCCACUGAGAAGUUAUUCCUUGUCAGCUUUGACACUGUCAAAGGUCAUCUGGUACCCAGCAAGCCAGCCUCAUCACCAAAGACAGCCAAACCAUGGAUUUCAAGUCCUGAAAAAUGAAAGUCAACAUCACAACCAAAGUGUAUACAUUCUCGUUGUAACAGGAGGACUUGAUCUUAUCACUUUUCUCUCCUGUGUUUGGUAAGAAGAUAGUAUCUAAUGUCAGUUUCAACCUUGAGACACCUGGUCUUUAACUGUGAUUUCUGUUCCCAGAGUGUUCUACUUUUCUGUGAAAGUCAGAUCAUAUCACACCAUUUAUAUUUGGCCUCCAACAUCCCAGUAAUUUUACCAGUGUCUGUAUUAGAUGAAGCAGAUGUUGAGAAUUCCAUGCCACUGCAUGACUUUUUUUUUUCACAUCCAGUUUCACCAACCCUGAGCCAACUCCUUUGUGGAAAGUAUCUCUGACAGACAGCUAUGCCAAAGUCAGCAUACGAUGGAGGAAUACACUGGCCACACUCAGGUCUGUCUGUAGGUCACCAUGGUGAAGUCUUGGGAAGAGAUAAUCUGGUGGUCUCCGGAUGGGGGUGCUCCCACUGCUGUGCUCACAGCUGAGGCCACUGGGUUUGCCUGCCAUGGGGUCACAGCUGCCUCAGCUGGAGGACAAAGUGGAGGCACCAUUCCACUUGCAGUCUGAAUGUUUUUAAAAUGUAAAAAUAUUUUUGAGCUGUAUUAGUGCUUUCCUUAGAAACAGAAUCAAUAUGAUAGAUAGCAGUAAGAUAGAUAGAUAGAUAGAUAGAUAGAUAGAUAGAUAGAUAGAUAGAUAGAAGACAAAAUGAGCCAGCCGCAGUGGCUCACACCUGUAAUCCCAGCACUUUGGGAGGCCGAGGUAGGAGGAUCAUGAGGUCAGGAGUUAGAGACCAGCCUGACCAAUAUGGUGAAACUGAAUCUCUACUAAAAAUUAGGCGGGCAUGGUGGUGCAUGCCUGUAAUCCCAGCUACUCGUGAGGCUGAAGGAGGAGAAUCGCUUGAACCUGGGAGGCAGAGGUUGCAGUGAGCUGAGAUCAUGCCAUUGCACUCUAGCCUGGUGACAGAGUGAAACUCCUGUCUCAAAAAAAAAAAAAAAAA